CAGCAGCCGCGGUAAUACGUAGGGGGCAAGCGUUAUCCGGAUUUACUGGGUGUAAAGGGAGCGUAGACGGUGUGGCAAGUCUGAUGUGAAAGGCAUGGGCUCAACCUGUGGACUGCAUUGGAAACUGUCAUACUUGAGUGCCGGAGGGGUAAGCGGAAUUCCUAGUGUAGCGGUGAAAUGCGUAGAUAUUAGGAGGAACACCAGUGGCGAAGGCGGCUUACCGGACGGUAACUGACGUUGAGGCUCGAAAGCGUGGGGAGCAAACAGGAUUAGAUACCCUGGUAGUCCACGCCGUAAACGAUGACUGCUAGGUGUCGGGUAGCAAAGCUAUUCGGUGCCGCAGCUAACGCAAUAAGCAGUCCACCUGGGGAGU
rnacentral:rRNA from 1 species